rnacentral:rRNA from 1 species
UAGGGAAUCUUCCACAAUGGACGCAAGUCUGAUGGAGCAACGGCCGCGUGAGUGAAGAAGGUUUUCGGACCGUAAAGCUCUGUUGUUGGUGAAGAAGGAUAGAGGUAGUAACUGGCCUUUAUUUGACGGUAAUCAACCAGAAAGUCACGGCUAACUACGUGCCAGCAGCCGCGGUAAUACGUAGGUGGCAAGCGUUGUCCGGAUUUAUUGGGCGUAAAGCGAGCGCAGGCGGAAGAAUAAGUCUGAUGUGAAAGCCCUCGGCUUAACCGAGGAAUUGCAUCGGAAACUGUUUUUCUUGAGUGCAGAAGAGGAGAGUAGAACUCCAUGUGUAGCGGUGGAAUGCGUAGAUAUAUGGAAGAAUACCAGUGGCGAAGGCGGCUCUCUGGUCUGCAACUGACGCUGAGGCUCGAAAGCAUGGGUAGCGAACAGGAUUAGAUACCCUGGUAGCCCAUGCCGUAAACGAUGAGUGCUAAGUGUUGGGAGGCUUCCGCCUCUCAGUGCUGCAGCUAACGCAUUAAGCACUCCGCCUGGGGGAGU